rnacentral:tRNA from 1 species
GCCGCCGUAGCUCAGCCCGGGAGAGCGCCCGAGGAAACCGGGUGGUCGCGGGUUCAAGUCCCGCCGGCGGCACCA